GAUGAACGCUGGCGGCGUGCCUAAUACAUGCAAGUCGAGCGAACAGACGAGGAGCUUGCUCCUCUGACGUUAGCGGCGGACAGGUGAGUAACACGUGGAUAACCUACCUAUAAGACUGGGUUAACUUCGGGAAACCGGAGCUAAUACCGGAUAAUAUAUUGAACCGCAUGGUUCAAUAGUGAAAGACGGUUUUGCUGUCACUUAUAGAUGGAUCCGCGCCGCAUUAGCUAGUUGGUAAGGUAACGGCUUACCAAGGCAACGAUGCGUAGCCGACCUGAGAGGGUGAUCGGCCACACUGGAACUGAGACACGGUCCAGACUCCUACGGGAGGCAGCAGUAGGGAAUCUUCCGCAAUGGGCGAAAGCCUGACGGAGCAACGCCGCGUGAGUGAUGAAGGUCUUCGGAUCGUAAAACUCUGUUAUUAGGGAAGAACAAAUGUGUAAGUAACUAUGCACGUCUUGACGGUACCUAAUCAGAAAGCCACGGCUAACUACGUG
rnacentral:rRNA from 1 species